ensembl:lncRNA
CUCUGACUGAUACGGGCAAAGAAUGGUGCUGUGUGGAGAGCCGGCUGGGCACUAGGAGGAGGAGCCGGGGCACAGAGGGAAGAAGCAGCUUGAUCAAGGAGUCACAUCGGGUCAUGGCUGGAGGCUGGGAUGUGAAGGAGCCCAUCAGGAGUAUGACAGCAAAGUUGGUGCAGUUCAGACUUUGACUUCUCUUUUUAUCACCAAGAUUGUUUGGCAGAACAUAGGAGGAAUUCCAGCCCACAGGGAGUUGCCCCAGAAAUUAGAUUCAAGGGACAUGUUCAAACCAAUCUGCAGCCUAUAAAUUCAUAUGAAUAUACUGAUCUUCCCAGAAACAAGGAGGUUCAUGUCAUCCCACCAGGGCUUCGACUUGCUGCACUGAAUAACCAGGAACUGACUUUCUGGUGAUGGCUGGAUAAAAGCACUGGGUGAUGGAUGGGGUCAGGGAUGUUUCACAACAGCCACUCAGGAGACUUGGGAACCAAACCAGCUGUUUACCGGAGAGGCUGUUCAUGGGCCAGUUUGCUCCUGUUCCCAGAUCCAGUGACCCUUCUCCUGGAUGUUGCAGAUUUUUAGAAGAAAAGCCAGUGGGCUCCCAGACUAAGUUAAAAAAGUCCUUUUCCAGACUCUAACUCCGUCCCCGCUUCAAAUUCCCUGGAUCCACCUGGGCUGGACCCCGGCAGCAGAGUACAUCAUGAGAAAUGCUGGGCUGGAGGAAGCACAAGUUGGACUCAAGAGUGC